CCUCUAACUUUCCAUUACAGAAAAGUGAGAAACAAUUUUCAUACAGUAGUAACAUCUGUACCUUGAAAAAGAUGAAGACUGAAAUAAACCUAUCUUCUCUGGGAAAGAAUAACAAUGAAAUCCAGCGUUGAAAGAUCAUGACAUCUCACUUUUCAGACCUACUAUCUUAUCUAUGGAACGGACUUCUCUUGUUGAGGUCCCAUGUGACACUCCAGAAUCUACACAGGAUAGCAACAAAAUGUUUGAUUCUCUAAAUACAGCUGACCACACCAGCUAUACAAUGAACACCUCUAUUAAAUCUCUUCCUCCUCUGGUAGAAGACCUGCCGGUGCUCCUGAUAACAUCAGUAAUGUGGUUCCUCGAACUAUUAGUAUCAGUUAUGACAAGGAUAAGAAACUUGAUCAAUUGAGUAUUCUGCAGACGAAAUCAUUCAAGAGA